rnacentral:rRNA from 1 species
UUGAAAGGGAAACGAUUGAAGUCAGUCGUACCUGUGGGUAAUCAGCCUUUUGGGUGUGAUUUUGUGGAGUGUGAGGAGUUAAACGCCUUCAUGCCUGCAUAUUCGUGCACUUUGGGUGUAUUUACCCGUGUGGUAAGUUAACAUCAAUUUCGGUGAUCAUAAAAUGGCUGGAGGAAUGUAGCUUCGAUCUUGUAUUGAAGUGUUAUAGCCUUCGGUAGAUGUGAUGAUCGGGAUUGAGGAUUACAACGGAUACCCUUCGGGGCUACCUGUCUGAUCUCUGAUCGUUGCUCUGGUGCCGAAAGCUUGCUUACGGUGUCAAAGUCGAUGGUCAAUAGGUUAGAAUGGGUUAAAUUCGUUAAGGAUGUUGACGUA